rnacentral:rRNA from 1 species
UUUUAGUAUUGGAGAUUUUGUUACUUUGAGUAAAUUAGAGUGUUCAAAGCAAACAGUUAAAGCAUUUUACUGCGUUUGAAUACUACAGCAUGGAAUAACAAAAUUGAACAAGUCAGAAUUCUGUUCUUUUUUCUUAUUUUGGCUUAGUUACGAUUAAUAGGAGUAGCUUGGGGGCAUUUGUAUUCAGAUGUCAGAGGUGAAAUUCUUAGAUUUUCUGGAGACAAACAACUGCGAAAGCAUUUGCCUAAAAUACUUCCAUUAAUCAAGAACGAAAGUUAAGGGAGUGAAGACGAUCAGAUACCGUCGUAAUCUUAACCAUAAACUAUGCCGACUAGGUUUUGGAUGAAACAUUUUUAAAUAAGAAAAUUCCUUUCGGGGAAAUUUCUUAGAUUGCUUCCUUCAGUACCUUAUGAGAAAUCAAAGUCUUUGGGUUCUGGGGCGAGUAUUCGCGCAAGCGAGAGAGUUAAAAGAAUUGACGGAAGGGCACCACCAGGCGUGGAGCUUGCGGCUUAAUUUGACUCAACACGGGGAAACUCACUAGUUUAAGACAAGAGUAGGAUUGACAGAUUAAUAGCUCUUUCUUGAUUUCUUGGAUGGUGAUGCAUGGCCGUUUUUAGUUCGUGAAUAUGAUUUGUCUGGUUAACUCCGAUAACGAACGAGAUCUUAACCUGCUAAUUAGCGGCGAAUACGUCAGAUUCUUAUGCGAAAUUGAAUAUAGCUGAAUUUGCUUAUUUUGAAGAAUACACUAGGAUACA